rnacentral:lncRNA from 1 species
GGUGUUUCUAUUGAAACUGUACUAAAUUUUUGCCUACAAUUUAUCUUGUUACAUAUGUAGAUAAAUUGCUAAUACUAAUAGCCAAAUAGAUAACACUAAUGCUUUGUUUAAAAAACAAAAAAGAAAAAAGAAAACAAGACAAAAAAAAAAACAACAAAAACCAUGAGCAGUGGUGUUCUAAUGAAGUUAUGGCAUCUGUCCUAAUUAGUUUCUUAAAUACAUUUACUACUUAAUGGUUUUGAAAGAACUGUUUAAUUUUUAAAUUUUUUGAAAACUUGCUAAUAACCUUUUGUUCAGAAUUUAGUAGAUUGUUUAUUGCGGGACAUCAAAUACACAAUGAAAGAUGCUUGAAAUGCCUUUGUUAUUUCAGGCCAAUCAAAUUAAACUAUCAAAGUACAAGAGAAACCUUUAGUCUUUUUUUUUUUUUGUUUUUGUCUAAAUAUGUUAGUUCAGUGAUGUCUUAGUGAACUGUGAGUGACUGCAUUGAUUUUUCUAAUAACUGCGUAGAGACCUUCACACAGCAUAGAGGGGGCUGUUGGCAUUUUGAGAAAGGUUAAUAGAGAGAGGCAUACAUCGUUUCCUUUUGUUUUUGAAACUUGUUUGUAAACAUAAAUAAAUAUGCCCUUUUAUUAAAUAAAUACACAGCAAUGGUUCUUCAGACAGCUCAGCUCCUUGGUUCUCUACGUGUGCCGCAUUGGCCUGUCUCCUCUAACCACAACUAGAAUAAAUUUCAAGCUGGUGGCAGCCUCAGGAAGGGCUGUUUGAAUCCUUUCUUGGUCACCCCAUGGAGUCGAGCUGAGACAGCAGUUUUGCCACCUAGCACACCCUUCAUAGAAUCUACUUUUAUCUAAAGUAAAGUAGUCUCGCCAUUUUAUACGAAGUAAUGACCACAGUUGUCUGAUGUAUUUGUUUUUUAUUAAGUGUCCCAGUCACAGAUUAGAUUAAAGGGAUGGCGCAUGAAGAUUUGAGGAAGCGGCUAAACACGAUCUCUGUAAUAACCAACUCUAUGCCGAACUCUAUGCUCAUCUCUGAGACAAUUGAAUUUCCAGGCUCUCUGCUUCUUUUCUGUCUACCUUCUUCCUUUGUCUGCCUCUCGUCUUGACCUUUUAGAAAGUGGUAUUGUUUCAGGGCGCAGAUCUCGCCAGUUAAACAAUCCUCAGGCUGACCUAAAGUUUACGAGGACUACUACAUCCAAGAAUGCUGACCUAGCAAAGAAACAUCUAGUUGAUGGUGCUUGAUAUAUAUAUAUAUUUUUUUUUUGGGCGGGUGGGAGGAAUCUUUUUCUCCCCAUCAGUUGCCUGCAGUAACUCUCUGCAAGUCUUAGAAACACAUCGGCUCUGUCCCAUCGAUCACUGUACAUUUUUACUCAUCAGGUGUUUGUAGUUAUUCAUACUGUAAAAAGAGGUAGCAUGAUAUGCUGGGACGCAUAUUUAGACCAGGAGCCCAAGGUGGACUCCUCGUCUUGAAUUUGCCAUUAACGUGCUGCAUGAUCUUGGGGCAGUGACUCACCCUGACGGAGGGUGGGGGACUCCUCUUGAAGAACCCUUUCAACUCUAAGAAUUGACCCUAUCCACUGAAGAAGCCUGUGAGGCAUAGGGAAUAGAGAAAGGGAAAUGUUCUCAGCUUUCUUUUUUAUUUUGGUUAUGCUUAAAUAUGAAUGUAAUUACCAAGAGAAUGAGACCUGCAUGUGCUCUGGAGGGUUUGUGUCUAGCUUUUCCGGUUUUUUUUUUUUUUUUCCAAAACUCAAGGCAAUGGCUUUUUACCCCACCUCUAAAUCCAUAAGUGGGUCUUAGGACAUCCGUGAAGUCAUAAUAGCAAAACACGCUCGGUGUGCGUUUCUCUCUUUGAGACACUGUAAUUUCUACCAGAAAUGUCCACAGCAUUAUGUAAGUAGGAAAAAAAAAAAAAAAUACAAGCAAGCUGUUAAAGAUCUUGGAUCCCAUUCUAUAGUGUGUAUACCUAAAUCAACAUCUGUAAUUCACAUUUUUCUCUUUUAUUCUCUAACCAAAAUCAGAAAGAAAAAAAAAACUUGUUUAAUUUUGCAUCCCAAAUGUUUUUAAUCUUUGUAUAUUUUUUAGACUCCCUUUUCUCCCCAUCAUUGCCUUUCCGUGGUUGUAAAUAGUUGUCACACUCUGAGGAUGAGUUACGUCUUGUCAUCUUACAAAUAUGUGAUAUGGUAAUUUUCAUAACAGAUUAUCAGUUUUGAACCAAGAAAAUGGUGAUUUGUUUAUAAGAGAAAAAAAAACAAAACAACAAAAAAAACCACCUGGCUUCAUUUCUGUGAAAUUGCUCUUUGAAACUUUCAUUUCCACGUGUAAGCCAACUGGGAUACUACCGUGAUGGUGUUGAUUUCUUUUAAUGAUGCUUACCAUCUCUUUUAGCCACUGAGCCUUUUAUUAUUUGUCUAUUUGUAAAGUUUAUUUGUCUUAACUCAUUUAAUAAAUAUACUGUUUAUCUGUUUC